GCCUCUAUAAAGAUUGUAAGCUUAAAUAGGAGGAAAGUUGAAUAAUUGUGGUCUCUGAUGAAGGAUCAGGAUCAUCCGAAAUGGGCUUAAGAAUCCCGGGCCUGCUUACAAUACAAUUACAAGCGCCUGUAAGCAAUGAAAACAGGAAAAAUGUUUUGCUGAGAGCUGGUUUCAGGGAUUGACAAGCAUAUUACAAAACUUCAAUCAACAAAAAAGCACUACCUCCAAUUUCCUGUAUAAUAUAGAAAUAUUUAUUAUUAUUAUUAUUAUUAUUAUUAUUAUUAAUGAAUUGUAAUAAAUGUCUGUGACUUAUUUUUUUAAAGACCACAAUGUGGCAGCAUAGUACAAAACUACAUUUAUAUAUAGCAUGGGAAAGAAAAAAGUAUAUAAAUAUUGUAACCAGAACUUUUCAACAUUUUGGAUUCCCAAAGUUAAAAAAACGGGCCAGAUUUCUUAAAAAAACAAGAAAAUAAAUUGCUAAUUAAUAAAAAA